GCGGCAGACGGGUGAGUAACGCGUGGGAACGUAGCUUUUGGUUCGGAACAACACAGGGAAACUUGUGCUAAUACCGGAUAAGCCCUUACGGGGAGAGAUUUAUCGCCGAAAGAUCGGCCCGCGUCUGAUUAGCUAGUUGGUGAGGUGACGGCGCACCGAGGCGACGAUCAGUAUUGGGUGUGAGAGGAUGGUCGGCCGCGUUGGGACUGAGCCAGGGUCAAACUUUCUACGGGAGGCAGCAGUGGGGAAUAUUGGACAAUGGGGGCAACCCUGAUCCAGCCAUGCCGCGUGAGUGAUGAAGGCCCUAGGGUUGUAAAGCUCUUUUGUGCGGGAAGAUAAUGACGGUACCGCAAGAAUAAGCCCCGGCUAACUUCGUGCCAGCAGCCGCGGUAAUACGAAGGGGGCUAGCGUUGCUCGGAAUCACUGGGCGUAAAGGGUGCGUAGGCGGGUCUUUAAGUCAGAGGUGAAAUCCUGGAGCUCAACUCCAGAACUGCCUUUGAUACUGAGGAUCUCGAGUUCGGGAGAGGUGAGUGGAACUGCGAGUGUAGAGGUGAAAUUCGUAGAUAUUCGCAAGAACACCAGUGGCGAAGGCGGCUCACUGGCCCGAUACUGACGCUGAGGCACGAAAGCGUGGGGAGCAAACAGGAUUA
rnacentral:rRNA from 1 species